UGGGGAAUAUUGGACAAUGGGCGCAAGCCUGAUCCAGCCAUGCCGCGUGUGUGAUGAAGGCCUUAGGGUUGUAAAGCACUUUCGCCGAUGAAGCGGUAGUCGGAGAAGAAGCCCCGGCUAACUUCGUGCCAGCAGCCGCGGUAAUACGAAGGGGGCAAGCGUUGUUCGGAUUUACUGGGCGUAAAGCGUACGUAGGCGGAUAAUUAAGUCAGGGGUGAAAUCCCGGGGCUCAACCUCGGAACUGCCUUUGAUACUGGUUGUCUUGAGUCCGGGAGAGGUGAGUGGAACUCCUAGUGUAGAGGUGAAAUUCGUAGAUAUUAGGAAGAACACCAGUGGCGAAGGCGGCUCACUGGCCCGGAACUGACGCUGAUGUACGAAAGCGUGGGGAGCAAACAGGAUUAGAUACCCCAGUAGU
rnacentral:rRNA from 1 species